GACGAACCGUCCAAACGUUAUUCGGAAUCACUGGGCUUACAGAGUUCGUAGGCGGUCUGGAAAGUUGGGUGUGAAAUCCCUCGGCCUAACCGAGGAACUGCGCUUGAAACUACCAGACUCGAGGGAGAUAGAGGAAAGCGGAACUGAUGGUGGAGCGGUGAAAUGCGUUGAUAUCAUCAGGAACACCGGUGGCGAAGGCGGCUUCUGGGUCUUAC
rnacentral:rRNA from 1 species